rnacentral:lncRNA from 1 species
CUCAUAUACCCAGCUGUGGUAAAUAAAAAUUUCCCUAGUUUUGGGGUGUGUAAAGAAAACACGGCUUGUCUCCAGUGGCUACCAAAAGGAAACAAACACAAAAAGAAAUGGAAGCUGUGAAAUGCUAACAUCUCUUCAGAGACUUGGAGCCAUUUCCAGAACCCUGGGCUUCUCUUUGUAGUCUGGUUGCUAUGGCUCUGUCUUCGUUACUGCAAAAUACUGUCUGAUAUACUCUGGUAAGUGGUUACAUGAAAGAGUCGAUAACCACAGAGGUGCUGGCAGAUCCCUAUCUUUCAAGCUCUCCUCUCAGCCUGAAGCUUUCUGACGAAGUCUUUCCUCCCAGCUUCUCAUUGCUUCUGGAGCUGCCAGUAAUUAAAGAGACACAGGAAGAAAUAAAAGAAAAUGCCACUCACAAGGAAUCAAAGAAAACAACACUCAGAACACAUCAGCCAGUUCUCUGCUGAAGCUCUCAGGGGCUCUGUGUGGCAGGAAUACCAAGCUGAAGGUGGGCUGAAUUUUGAUUUAAAAGGAGAAGGGUAGACCUUGCAAAUAUUCUGCCUGGAUAGUACACAUUGUGGGUUAAGAUGUGUCAGUGAGAGUCUCCAGUCUUCAGAUGCAAGUUGAGCUCGUUAUGAUCGACGUGAAUCUGCAUGUUAAAAGGAGACUCGUUGCUGUGGGCAGUAAUGCAGGGAGCUUCUUGAAAUUGCCUUUGCGAGAAAAGUUGUAACGGUGAGCUGAGCUAACCCACCCCACAGUUUGCCUUUCCUUUAAUUAUUCCUGGGCUUUUGGGCCAAGCUGAUUUUGAGAGACAUUUAGGCUGCAGUUUAAAUGAUAAAAAGCCUCCCGUAAAACUCAAUCGCUUUUGUAACGCUAAUGGAAGGCCAUCAGGCUGCGGGGAGGAGAGCAGCCUGGGUUCUGCUAAGAUGCAAACAUGAACAAUUGCCAGCCAUUAUUCCAGAGGUUAUAAGAUAUGCAAUUUCCCCAAUUACUCCUACAAAUAACAUCACUAUUGUAGAACUUAAGAUUGGCCUUUUGAGAUAUCUUUUCAGGCUUUUUGUAUGUCUGACACCCAUGGCUCCACCUGGACCCUCCAACUCUGCUCCUGUGGUCCCACCCAGAAGCAAUUCAGCACACAGGAGAACAGGUGCAACUGGCUAUGAUUUCAUCUCUGCACCAACCAACCAGCUGCAAGCCUAGCCACCCCCACCCCUUCCCCCAAAGAUGCCUUUGAGAAACGCCUAACUUGUGAGCUUUGGAGAAUGAUUUGAGUACUAACUCCAUCUCCCAUGUGGUGUGGCCAGCCUGUCUAUUAAACUCUUCCUUUGCUACAAUACCAUGGUCUUUCUUUGUGUAGGGGGCAGGAAAGAACCCCUUGGGCCAUUACAUUCUAAGAAAACAUUAAGAGUAUCAUGGCUAACCACUUUCUUCUCUCUGCAGCCCCUCCUCAUCUAUGAAUGGAUCUGUGACCAUUUCUGCUUUGGCCUCCUUCUGAAACCACCUUUGCAAACAUCAUGACAGUGACAGAAGUCUAGCAUGGCUGGCUCCAUCUUGCUUCUAGCCUCACAAUCUGGCUAUUCUUGCUCAUUCCUGGGCAUAGGCCAAGCUAACCGUGGGAGGAAUUUAGUUUACAGUUUAACAUUGAAGCAAGGAUGAUAAUAGUUCCUCCCAGAACCCCUCCUUGUUCAGGGACUAAAACUACCUUUGUAAAACUAAUGAAGGGCCACAAGAUUAGGAUUAUGGGAGGGGCCUGAAUUCUGCUGAGAUGUAGGUGUAAACGAUAACCAGCCAUUGUUCCCUAACUUGCUUUCUAUUUUAUUUUUAUUUUUUAAAGAGACAGGGUCUCACUAUAUUGCUCAGGCUGGCCUUGAACUGCUGAGUUCAAGAGAUCCUCCCACCUCAGCCUCCCAAAGUGUUGGAAUUACAGAUGUAAGCCACCAUGCCCAGCCUCCUAGCUUGCUUCUGUAAUCCCUUACUACUCAGGAGUCAUGUGGCAGAAAUUAUAAGAUUUGUGACUUCCCCAAUUGCUCCCGUAGAUAACAUCACUAGUGUAAAACCUAAGAUUGGUCUUUUGAGAUGGUUUUCAGAUUUUUGCAUUAUGGCAACCAACUGACUCUACCCCGACCCAUGACUCAUGACUCAACUAAUCCCGUGGCCCCCACCCAGAGGCUGAGUCAGUGCACAAGGAUUGUUUUCCACAACCCUACAAUUUCAUUCCUAACCAAUCAGCACACCCAAUCCCUAGCCCCCUGCCUGCCAAAAUAUCCUUGAAAAAACCCUACCCUCCAAGCUUUUGGGGAAGCUGAUUUGAGUACUAAACUCUUGUUCUUCCACUUAGCUGGCCCUGUGAUUAUUAAACUCUUUCUCUACUGCAGUACCACUAUCUCAGUGAAUUGGUUUUAUCUGCGCAGCGGGCCAGAAGAACCCAUCAGGUGAUUGUACUUCCCUUCCUUCCCAGUGGAAAAGGGGUUCCUCAUCCAGUCCAGGGGCCCCCAAGAAGCUUCCCUCUUUUUGUAAAUCAGCUUUAUUGUAGUAUAAUUUAUGUACAGUAAAUGGUAUCCAUUUAAAGUAUACAAUUUGUUGAGUUUUGACACCCAUGAAACCGCUGCCAUAAUCAAGACACAAUAUUUCCAUCACCUCCAAAAGUUUCCUUGUGCCUCUUUGCUGUUCAUUCCUUUCUCUCUGCUUCUAACCUUAGACAACCACUGAUCUCCUUUCUGUCACUAUAAAUUAGUUUGCAUUUUCUAGAAUUUCACGUAAGUGUACUUAUGUAGUACGUACUGUUUUGUGUCUGGCUUUUUUACUCAGCAUAAUGAUUUUACAAGUCAUCCAUUUUGUGGGUAGCAGCAGUUGAUUGUGCCUUUUUAUUACUGAGUUGUAUUCCAUUGUAUGGAUGCAGCAGUUUUUGUUUAAGCAUUUUCAUGAUGGUUGAGUUGUUUCUAGCUUGUGGCUAUUGUUUCUCCUCUAUCUUUAAUUGCUUUCUCUCUUCUGCCUCUACCACUUAAUAUAGAGAUAUGUUCAAGUGUCUUUCAUUUAAAAAAAUACUCUCUUGACCCAGCAACUUUAGGUACUCAGUCUCAGAACAACUUGGGAUUUUCUGGUGUAUUCCGGGGAUUUCUAGGCAUAAAAUCUGAAUAAACCAGGCAGGUAAAUUCAAGUGGUCUGUUGCAGUCAUGGGACAAGAUUAUCUUUCCAGAUACAGUUUAUCUAAUCUGGACAUUUCUCAGAGCUGGCCCACAGUCUCUGGAAGUGGCUGCCUCAGACUGGCAUCCCCCUGGGUUAUUUUUCUUCCUCUUUCUGGACUGAAUAACGAUUCUGUGCCCCAGUUUAUCACCUGGAAAUCAGGAAGGAUCUUUACUUAUAAUUAUUUAAAAUUAUAACUAAGUUAAAAUUAGUGAACCAGGUAAAAAUCAAAGAAUAUUGUCAUGGAUGGUUUAUUACUCCAUUCUCACACUGCUAUAAAGAAGUAGCUGAGACUGACUUAUUUAUAAAGGAAACAGGUUUAAUUGACUCACAGUUCCACAUGGCUGGGGAGGCCUCAGGAAACUUACAAUCAUGAUGGAAGGUGAAGGAGAAGCAAGUACCUCUUCACAAGGCAGCAGAAGAGAGAGAAAAGCUUAGGGGAAACUGCCAUUUAUAAAACCAUCAGAUCUCCUGAGAACUCACUAUCAUGAGAACAGCAUGGGGGAAAAUGCCUCCAUGAUCCCAUCAUUUACCAGGCCCCUUCUCAACAGGUGGGAUUAUCGGGAUUACAAUUCAAGAUGAGAUUUGGGUGGGGUCACAGCCAAACCAUAUCAUUCCACCCCUGGACCCUCUCAAAUCUCAUGUUCUCACAUUUCAAAACACAAUCAGGCCUUCCCAACAGUCCCCCAAAGUCUUAUAUCACUCCAGCAUUAAUCCAAAAGUCCAAGUCCAAAGUCUCACCUGAGAUAAUGCAAGUUCCUUCCUCCUAGGAGCCUGUAAAAUCAAAAACAAGUUAGUUACUUCCUAGAUACAAUGGGGGUAUAGGCAUUGGAUAAAUGCUCCCAUUCCAAAUGGAAGAAAUUGGCCAAAACAAAGGGUCUACAGGCCCCAUGCAAGUCUGAAACCCAGUGGGGCAGUCACAUUUUUUUUUUUUUUUUUUGAGAUGGAGUUUUUCUCUUGUUGCCCAGGCUGGAGUGCAAUGGCACAAUCUCAGCUCACCGCAACCUCUGCCUCCUGGGUUCAAGCAGUUCUCCUGCCUCAGCCCCCUGAGUAGCUGAUAUUACAGGCAUGCACCACCAAGCCUGGCUAAUUUGUAAUUUUUUUAGUAGAGACGGGGUUUCUCCAUGUUUGUCAGGCUGGUCUCAAACUCCUGACCUCAGGUGAUCCACCAGCCUCAGCCUCCCAAAGUGCUGGGAUUACAGGCAUGAGCCACCGCACCCGGCCAGGGCAGUCAAAUCUUAAAGCUCCAAAAUGAUCUCCUUUGAUUCCAUCAUGAUGAUGAUGAUGAUGAUGAUGAUGAUGAUGAUGAUGAUCACUAAUCAAGGAGUCUUCCUUUUUGUUGUGUCUCUGUGGUAGAAUAAAGGCCCCCAAAAAUGACCGUAUCUUAAUCUCUGAAACCUGUGAAUAUGUUGCUUUACAUGAGAAAUUGGACUUUGCAGAUGUGGUUAAGGUUAUUGAGAUGGGAACAUUAUCCUGGAUUACCUUGGUGGUGGGCCUGAUGUAUCACAAGGGUCCUUAUAAGAAAGAAGUGGGGAUUGAAAGAUGUUAUGCUUUGCAGAUGGAGGAAGGGGCCACAAACCAAGAAAUGCCAGCAGCCUUUAGAAACUGAAAAGGGCAAGGAAAUGGAUUAUCUCCUAGAGCCUCCAGAAGGAACCAGACCUGCUGACACCUUUAUUUUAGCCUAGUGAAAGCCAUUUCAGGCUUGACCUCCAGAACUGUAAGAUAAUAAAUGUAUUCUGUUGUAAGCCACUAAGUAUGUGGUAAUUUGUUAUGGCAAAAAGAGGAAACUGAGUCUCUAAGUCAAAGCCAGUGCAAUUGGCUAGGAUUCCAAUUUCUGAAUCCUUGGUCACAACUAUUAUGAGUUCCCAGAGGAGAUACAAAGAGAGGACACUCCAAGCAAGUCAACGAUGCUUUUUACUAACUACAACCAUGGUCCCAUGUUUGUAGGUGGACACUGUGGCUUUUGGUGAGCUUUGGUGAGCCCUGGAUGGCCCUCUGUGGGCUUAGUAACCUUGAAAAUGAGGGUAUAAAGCAAUCUGUGGAAAACUGGCCUUUCAAGGGUACUGCUUUGCCUAUAGCUUUGACUUUUCAUUUCACCUACUGAAAAUUAGGUAAUUCAAAUAGAGACACUUGAGAGACAAAUGGUGUUAGACUGCACUCCCCCAAAGUCAAGCCUUAGAGUAAUUUAAUAUAUUGCUGCCACUUUAAUCUGACUAGUAUUCCUGGGUAGAAAGUCUCUUGGGGCCCUAGAUUACUAUUAAUGUAACUUAACCCUUGUGUUGGCAACAUUUACUUGGAUAUAAUUCAUGGAUGGAUCAUGGAUGCUCUCCAGAGAAAAUGCUAAACACAAACAGGAUCGUAUUGGUUUCCAUAUACUUAAUUUCUUGCUGACCUACUCAAUAUGGUUGAAUAUAGACCUAUGAUAUACAGUUUCAAGUGUAUUUUUUGAUAUUUUUAAAGAACCCAUGUGCCAAAUAUAAGCAUUUAGAAAAACUGUUAGCAAAUGGAAUGUAGAGUACCACAAGCUGAGUAUGCAGCAAGCUGACAGCCACACUAGCAUGGUCAUUUAUUGCUUAUUGAAUUUACUCAGAUCAUCUUUGAGUCCAAUGCCAUGCACACAGUAGGUUCUUCAUCAGUAGUUGUUCAAGUCAGAAAUAAAUUUUAAAAAUAUACAUGGCUCCAUUAUAUAUGCGGAAACUGCAAAAUAAGCAUAACUAAAUACCUGAAUUUCCAGGCACUCUGCAGUAGAUCAGAAAGCCCAUGUCCAUUUGAUCAAAGUCCAGGGGAUACACAAUGUUAAGUGCAAGAUGUAUCAAUUCACCAGUGAAACUCCAGAUGGCUUUCCUUCCCACUUCAUCAUGUCACAUCAAUAUGGUAGCUUGUGAGUUGUAUCCACAGUUGACAUCCUAUAGUCUUCAGCUCUAGUAAUUUAAAUUAUUGUACUUUAUUUUGACUACUCAGAAUUGUCUCCUGAAUUAAAUCAACAAACACAAGCAUAUUUAUAUACAUACACCCACACGUAUAUGAAAGUAUGAGUUUACAGUGUAGUUGGAAAAUUAAAAUAUAGGCAGAAAAAAAUUACAAAGUAAAAUAUAAUGUCAAGUGAAUAAAACAGAUAGUUACAAAAUAAAAAUAAUAUUUUUAAAGGUCAAAUUACAAUGAUCUGGUUUGGCCACGAGCCUUUUAAAAAUAUAUAUUGAGUUUUAAUUCAUAUGCCAUACAAUUCACUUAAAGUUGCAAUUCAAUGAUUUUUAGUGUAUUCACAGGGUUGUGCAAACAUCACCACAAUCAAUUUUCAAAUAGUUCAUCAACCUUAAAAUAAACCUUCUACUCAUUAGCAGUCACUCCCAUUUUCUCUUGACCCCUCACUCCCACCCCAGCCCAUCACAAAUCUACUUUCAAGUUCUAUAGUUUUUUCUGUUCUGGACAUUUCAUAGUAAUAGGAUCAUAUGACAUGUGGGGAUUUGUGUCUGACAUCUUUUCCUUAGCAUAAUGGUGUCAAGGUCCAUCCAUAUUAUAGCAUGUAUCAAAACUUCAUUCCAUUUUUCUUUUUCUUCUUCUUUGAGAUAGAGUCUCUGUUGCCCAGGCUGGAGUGCAGUGGCAUGAUCUUGGCUCACUGCAACCUCUGCCUCCCGGGUUCAAGCAAUUCUCCUACCUCAGCCUCCCGAGUAGCUAGGAUUACAGGCGCGUGCCAUCACACACAGCUAAUUUUUUGUAUUUUUAGUAGAGAUGGGGUUUCACCAUGUUAGCCAGGAUGGUCUCCAUCUCCUGACCGCAUGAUCCGACCAGCUCGGCCUCCCAAAGUGCUGGGAUUACAAGUGUGAGCCACCGUGCCCAGCUCCAUUUUUUGUACUAAUAAUAUCUCAUUGUAUAAAUAGACCACAUUUUGUUUAUCCAUUCAUCAGUUGUCAGACAUUUGGGAUGUUUUUACUUUUUGGCUAUUGUGAAUAAUGCUACUAAUAUUUGUGUACAGGUUUUUAUGUGGACAUAUGUUUUCAUUUUGCUUUAGUGUAUAUCUAGGAGUAGAAUUGCUGGGUCAUAUGGUAACUCUAUGUUUAACCUUUUGAGGAACUGCCAGAUUGUUUUUCCAAAGCAGCUGUAUUAUUUUACAUUUCAACUAACAGCAUAGGAGGGUUCCAAUUUCUCCACAUCCUUGUCAAGUCUUGUUAUUGUCAGUCUUUUUAUGAUAGCCACCCUAGUAUAAGUGAAGUGGUAUCUCAGUAUGGUUGGUCAUGAACUUUUUGAUAGGUCCAGGGGUGCAGGAAAAGGAUUUCACAGAAGAAAAGAUCAAGAAGAAAGGCAUAGAGGUAGGAACUCCCUGCCUGACCCCAGCAUGUUAAUUUCACCUGUUGAAGGCAAGUCAUUUUUGUUUGCACAGAAAAUCUGUGUAGGAAAAUAGUGGAAGAUGAAACUAGAAAACUCCCUCAAAGGGAAAACUGCAUAUAUAUAUAAGUGCAGGGUGCUGCAGGCUGGGUUACUGUGUGCAGGAAACAGUAGAGACCUUGAAGUGUGUUCUUUAAUAAAAAUCUUGCUUUAGGAAAAUUAAUUUGGAUAUACAGAACUUUGAGGACAGGAGAGAGAGAGACAGAUGCUGGAUGCAUUGCAUGUGGGUCAGCAAUGGGAUUGGGGUACUGGUUUGGCAUAAGGGAUGACAAGUGGAAACCAAGGAAACCCUUGGAGUUCCAGCUGGGACUCUGGGAGAAUUCUGGUAUCCUAAGACAAAGAAGUCAAGAAGAACAGCUGUUUUGUGGGGUGGGUAAAAGACAGAGCAAUUUUCAUAUUAGAAACUUCAAGUCUGAGGGCAUUUUUGAGAGCAGGAGGCCUGGAACUUGGAGAAAGGUAUUGGUCAGAACAGAGGUUGACUGCCUGCUUUUCUAAGGUCCAUGAGCUAGAGAAUAGUUUUCACACUGUCAAGUGGUUGGGAAAAAAAAAAUCCAAAGAAUAAUAUAUUGUGACAAGUGAAAAUUACAUGAAAUUGAAAUCUCAAUGUUCAUAAAGUUUAUUGGAACACAGCCAUGCCCAUUCAUUGACAUAUGGUCUUUGGCUGAUUUCAUGCUGCAAUAGGAGAGUUGAGUGGUUGCAAUAGAUUGCAUGGCCUGCAAAGCCUGACAAAUUUACUAUCUGGCCCUUUACAGAGAAAGUUUGUUGGCUCCUGAAUUAGUGACAAACUUGGGAGGUAUGGCCUCCCAAUUGUGAUUCUUAAACCUGAAAGAGUGAGAGUGAUCCAAAUUAACAGUGUAUAGAAAAAAGGAGCCAGGGCCAGUCCUUGGGGCUGCUUAUGUUUGGGGACCAGAGAUAGGUAAAAGAAUCAGUGAAGAUAGUAAAUAAGUUGAAAUAAACCUCAAUUUAAUUAAACAUGUCAACUCCCAGACUAUUUUAUUGCUUGGUACUUAAAACACACUCCCAAGAGGAAGAUUAAUUAAUAAAGCUGCAGUGUGGGAUAGCUAUCCAGCUGGAAGCAGCACAGGCCCCUAACAAGGUUUGUUUUUGGCAAAUUCCCAUCUCCAGUCUUCUCUUCUCCCACAAUAGGGUGAAGCAUCCCAUUCCUGCCUUAUCCCCAGAAGGCCUGGCUUCCAGACAUCUGUCUCAGAAAGAGGUAUGAGGCAGAAGGUUCCACUAGGUAAAUUGUUGAUAAAAGCUCAAGUGCAAUUCCUGCCCUAGGAUUUGGACUUGAAUAAAGGGACUCUCAAGACACUGAGGAAUGACUCUCAAUUCUGGAAAGUGUAGGCACUUGCAAAGGGGCAGAGAGUUGUGUGAGAAUAUGGAGGAGGAAGAUUCUUGGAUGGUCCCUCCAAUCAGGCCAGUUGUAUGUGCUACGUAUGUAGGGGUUGGACCCACCCCCUUGUCCAGUGAUCUUGGAGAAGUCACUUAAACGUUCUCUUUUGGUAACUCAUCUGGAAUUAGGGAAUAAAUUCUAAGCAACUUUUAAAUAAGAAGCAUAAAAGCAUUUGAGUCUUCAGAUUUGCUUAAUUGAUCAUUGCAGACGGUUGUGUCAAUAACAAUGACGUUUAGAGGAAAAGGUGAAAUUGGUUUCUUUUUCUUUUCUUGGACUUAGCUCCAGGAGCAGGGAACAGGAAGCCAUUCCCAGAAGUUGCUUUCCCCUCCCACCCCUGAGUACGUGGCAGGGCCAACAGAUGUGGCUGAAUGCCCAGGCCCAGGGCCAUGAGUACUAACCUAUGCCCUGGAAAGCAGGAAACACAUUGUCUUCAUGUACUCUGCAAUUUGGGAGCAAACACCAGCAGCUCUUGCAGGGGGCCUUUGUGGGUCCAAAUUCAAUGGACUGUCUGCUCUCUCUCACCACUGCUCCACCUUUCAUUUGUCUGAACGUGGAAACACACACACACACACACACACACACACACACACACUCCAAGCGCUUUUACUUUUCCUCACUCAACAACAAUGCAGAAAACUUCUGUGACCAAAUAUGUGUGUGUGUGUGUGUGUGUGUGUGUGUGUGUGUGUGUGUGUGUGGCGGGUGGGGGGGUGGGGCAUUUCUCUACACAUCAAGGAGCAGAUCAGCUGCAUGUCCUCUAAUUCAGUUCUGACACUCUCUACCCAGAGAGUGUCAGAUCCCACAGGUUGAGGGCUCAGUCCCCAAGACUGCCCCCACCCCCACUUCUGAUACCAAUUAAAAGCUGCAGGUUAUUUUUCUUGUGCUUCUGACCGACUGGCUAUAAUCAGGUUGCCCACAAUCCCCCUUUCUUGGGUUCAAUUAAUUUGCUGGAGUGGCUCACAGAACUCAGAAAAACACUUAUGUUUACUCAUGUAUUAUAAAAGAUGUUACACAGGAUACAGAUGAAGAGAUGUGUAGGGCGUGGUAUGAGGGAAGGGGUGCAGAGCUUUGAUACCCUCCCUGGGCACCACCCUCCAGGAACCUCUACGUGGUCAGCUAUCUGGAAGCUCUCUGAAUCCUGUCUUCUUGGGUUUUUCUAGAGGCUUUAUUACUUAGGCGUGAUUGAUCAAACCAUUGGCCAUUGGUGAUACACUCAACAUCUCCUCUCCCUUCCCUGGAGGUUGGGAGUGGUGCUAAAAGUUAGUCUUUCUGGGUGACAAACCCCCAUCCUGAAGCUGCCUAGGGGCUGCCUGCUAUCAGUCAACUCAUUAGGGUACAAAAAGACAACACUUUGGAAUUUCUAAGGAUUUUAGGAUUUGUAUGCCAGGAAACAGGGUCAAAGACCAAAUAUACAUCACAAUAUCACAAUUUGCUUGUUUUUUGUUUCAGCUUGGGAUCAGCCUUAUUUUUAAUACACAGAUGCUCUCCUACACAGGAACCCCUUACUUAUUAGGGACCUUUGAGAUUCCUUUUCAGAUCCCCCUGUUGCCAUGGAAUUGUAGCUGGAACAUCCACUCCACUUCCUACUGACUGGCUCCUGACAUUUCUCAGUCCCCAAAUAUCUCACCUUCUCCCAACAGCCUGAAUUUUUGUUUUCUUCACCCAGUUUCUGUUUGCAAUGGCAUUUGUCAGAUUUUCACAUAUCAACAUCCUUCUUAAUAAUGAGAACCUUUUAGGCAUUCACAUUCUCAUAUAGAUCCACUCAGUCAGAUUGCUUUCCACUUAGCUGAAUCCACCAUAUAGAGAAAAGGAAGCUUCUAUUGCAGGAAUCAGAAGACGAGAUGAUUCUAGAACAUGAAAUAUUGGUAAUGGCUCAUCAGGAUGGGGUGCUAGUGGGAGGGAUAGGAAAGCCUGGGAGCCCUGGGAAACCUGAUAAUCCCAAAAGAAAGGCAAUAGAACGUGGCAAAGGAGCAUAGGAAAGGAGCUUGUUGACCCACACCUGCGCUGCACUAUCUGUAAGAGUAGUUCUGCGACAGCACCAUGCAGAGGAAACUCCUUUAGUCCACUUCUUCACCUGCUCCUCUUCCCCUUAUUUUCUUCUUUUCCCUCUGCCUCAGUAGAGUGAGUCAAAGUGGAGUCCUCUGAAAUGUACUUUGGCCCUAGAGUCCUAUGGAUCCGUGUUCACAUUUUGAACAAGUUACUCAAUCACUCUGAACCCUAGUGUGUACAUCUACAAAACAGGGGAUCUACCCUGAAGGGAUGCUGUGAGAAUUAGGUGGAAUAAUACAUGUAAAGGCAUCUGCACAAGUUAGUUUUUUUUCUUCUCUGAAAGCACUGACUGGAGCUGCUCAGGAAGUACCAACUGGUGCCAGUUCCCCAAUGAAGUAUGUGUGUGAUAAAUUAUCCUGCAUAUCUAUAUGCACACACCCCUAUUCACUUAGCUUAUCCAAAAAAACUAGAAGCAGCAUAGAGGAACAACAUUAGCAGACUUUGCUUGGGGGAAAUCAGACCUUGGAUUCCCCUGCCUCCCAACCCCCAACCUCACCAAAUUAGUAUAUUAUCAGGUUCCAUCUAAGCGUGUACCCAUGGCAAAUGCACUGUUCACUGGUAGUUAAUGGAAAUAAUGCCCAUCCAAUAUGGGGCCACCAAAACCUUCAUAAUACAGUGCGGUUGCUGACCUGGAAAUGAUCUCAGCAAGCAUCUGGCCCGCUAACCAUCAAACCCUCCCACUUCCUUCUAUAUAUAGGAAAAUGGAGGCACAGAGAAUUUAAGUGCUUUUAGAAGGUAAUAGUUGAGAAAAAACUAGGACUAGAACUCAAGGCACCUUGACUCACAAUCCAAACUAUCUUUCUACCACUCCUGGCUGAGUUCAUGAAUGUAAAAAGAGACUGUUAAAAAAAAAAAUUAAAUAUAUAACACCUUGCAAGAUGUUAACCGCCAUUACUUAUUGUUUUAAUUAUAAAUUACCCAUCUUUCUAGAUGCUUCUGCAGGGAUCUUGACAAGUCAUUUCUGAUCCUGCCCUAUGAAACAAUCUCUCAGAGACUCAAGGAACUCCAGAGGCUACAUCUGGAGGGAUAUAAGGGGGAAACUGAGCAAAGAGGAGGCAGUGGAACAUAAUUUUGCAGGCAGAAAUUUAAAAAUAUAUGUUUAGUGCAAACUCUUCUAGUUCUGUGUGAUUUUGUUUCUGUUUGUUUUAAACCAAGAAAAAACACCACAUUCUUGAUUGCAAGGAAGUUUUUACCAGAAUAAGAGGCCAUGAAUUCCCAUGAGCCACCCUGCCUAACAAAGCCAGAAGACCCCCUGGCUUAAAGGUUGCAAGUUAAAGAUUACAGGUCAAAACAUUUUAAAAGCAGCAACAAUGCAAACUUUAUAUAACAAAUGACAAAGAUAUAUAACGAUAUAAUAAUAAUAAAGAAAUAGCUAUAUAAAAAGAGCUAGGUAGAUGAUGGAUAAAUGGAUGGGAAAGAAGGAAGGAAAGAGGGGAGGAAGGAGGGAGGGAAGGAAGAAAGAAAGAAGGUAAGAAGGAAAUAGGCCUAAGUGCUGUAGUUGAUCUCUGGUGGCAAGCAAUUUUAGUUUUCCAACUUUUGCUUCUCUGCAUUUUACAAAUUCUCGUACGUUCUUAAACAACAACAACAAUAACACCCACCCUAAUGAUCAAUGUUAUUUGCUAAAAGGGUUGACAAUGACAAACACAAACCCCUUGAAAUUUCCAGUUCUCCUUUCCAGUAAAUCUGCUUUUGCAUGGGCUCCUCCGCAUUCCUCAUUCACAUCAAGGAUUCAAGAAAUUCCACUCAACUGAAGUCCAGAUCACAUCUAAGAUUGAUCGUUCCACAUUUAAACCUUUCUCUGAUCCCUUCAGUGACUUUGCCUCGCUUGAGAGAAAAUGACAACCGACUCACUGUUUCAUUUUCCCUUCCAUUCAGCCAAGCAAUCCAGGGCCCUAUUCCGUCGUUUGCUUUUCAUCCAUAGGGCUUCCAAUUCACCCAUGUGAAAACAUCUUUGCAAUUACAGCCUUCACUCAGUGUCCCCAGGUUAACUUCAGGACCCUGAUUGAAGAAUCUGAAACCACUUGACAAACUAAUUUGAAUUGCAAACAGCUACCAACACAAAUC